UGGGGGAUCGUCUAGCGGUAGGACAGCGGACUCUGACUCCGCUAACCUAGGUUCGAAUCCUAGUCCCCCAGCCA
rnacentral:tRNA from 1 species